GGUGAACGCUGGCGGCGUGCCUAAGACAUGCAAGUCGAGCGGGGCAGGUUUAUACCUGUUCAGCGGCGGACGGGUGAGUAACGCGUGGGUGACCUACCCGGAAGAGGCGGACAACCUGGGGAAACCCAGGCUAAUCCGCCAUGUGGUCCUGUCCUGUGGGGCAGGACUAAAGGGGCGACCCGCUUGCGGAUGGGCCCGCGUCCCAUCAGCGAGUUGGUGGGGUAAAGGCCCACCAAGGCGACGACGGGUAGCCGGUCUGAGAGGGUGGCCGGCCACAGUGGGACGGAGAGACGGCCGAGAGUGGUAAGGGAGGGAGCAGUGGGGAAUAUUGCACAAGGGGCGGAAGCCGGAGGAAGCAAGGCGGCGGGCGGGAUGAGGGCCUUCGGGUUGGAAACAGCUUUCGCCUGUGACGAAGCGUGAGGGACGGUAAUGGGUAAAGAAGCACCGGAUAACUAGGUG
rnacentral:rRNA from 1 species